UACGGAGGAUCCGAGCGUUAUCCGGAUUUAUUGGGUUUAAAGGGUGCGUAGGUGGAUUGGUAAGUCAGUGGUGAAAGUUUGCAGCUUAACUGUAACAGUGCCGUUGAUACUGGGGAGCUAGGAUUUGGUUGCAGUGGGUGGAAUGUGUGGUGUAGCGGUGAAAUGCUUAGAGAUCACACAGAAUAUCGAUUGCGAAGGCAGCUCACAAAGCCAAGAUUGACGCUGAGGCACGAAAGUGUGGGGAUCAAACAGGAUUA
rnacentral:rRNA from 1 species